rnacentral:rRNA from 1 species
UAGGGAAUCUUCGGCAAUGGACGAAAGUCUGACCGAGCAACGCCGCGUGAGUGAAGAAGGUUUUCGGAUCGUAAAACUCUGUUGUUAGAGAAGAACAAGGACGUUAGUAACUGAACGUCCCCUGACGGUAUCUAACCAGAAAGCCACGGCUAACUACGUGCCAGCAGCCGCGGUAAUACGUAGGUGGCAAGCGUUGUCCGGAUUUAUUGGGCGUAAAGCGAGCGCAGGCGGUUUCUUAAGUCUGAUGUGAAAGCCCCCGGCUCAACCGGGGAGGGUCCUUGGAAACUGGGAGACUUGAGUGCAGAAGAGGAGAGUGGAAUUCCAUGUGUAGCGGUGAAAUGCGUAGAUAUAUGGAGGAACACCAGUGGCGAAGGCGGCUCUCUGGUCUGUAACUGACGCUGAGGCUCGAAAGCGUGGGGAGCAAACAGG